rnacentral:rRNA from 1 species
AGUGAACGCUGGCGGUAGGCCUAACACAUGCAAGUCGAACGGCAGCACAGUAAGAGCUUGCUCUUACGGGUGGCGAGUGGCGGGCGGGUGAGGAAUACAUCGGAAUCUACUUUUUCGUGGGGGAUAACGUAGGGAAACUUACGCUAAUACCGCAUACGACCUACGGUUGAAAGCAGGGGAUCUUCGGGCCUUGCGCGAUUGAAUGAGCCGAUGUCGGAUUAGCUAGUUGGCGGGGUAAAGGCCCACCAAGGCGACGAUCCGUAGCUGGUCUGAGAGGAUGGUCAGCCACACUGGAACUGAGACACCGUCCAGAGUCCUACGGGAGGCAGCAGUGGGGAAUAUUGGACAAUGGGCGCAAGCCUGAUCCAGCCAUACCGCGUGGGUGAAGAAGGCCUUCGGGUUGUAAAGCCCUUUUGUUGGGAAAGAAAAGCAGCAGGUUAAUACCCCGCUGUUCUGACGGUACCCAAAGAAUAAGCACCGGCUAACUUCGUG